rnacentral:lncRNA from 1 species
CCUGACUCUAGAUACAUGCUCCAUUCUGGGGGUACAGCCUGGUGCCCAGAAAGUGGUGUGAAUUUCCCCACUCCACAGAGGAAAUCCCGGGGUGGGGGAGGGGUGCCUGGAGGAACAGCAGUGGCCUCUGAGUCACAAGCUGCCCCUCCCUGCUGGAUCCCUUUGUUCCACAGGAGGUAAGCUGUGACUCACAUGGACUCCAGUCCUGGGCUGCACCCAUCUGACCCAGUCCAGCUGCCCUGCCCAGCAUCACUAAGAAAACAUGGGAACAUCAUCCUCUUUCCCCAGCACUGGCCCCUGAGGGGAUGCUGACCUGCACCUCAAGAUCCCAUUGUGGCAGUAGAUUCCCAAUGCUCCACAGGGGAGCCUUGGAGUCCUGUCUAUACCAAGCUUUGUUCAUUUAUCCAAGAACCCAUUCUUGGACUGUUGCUAUAUCUUGGCUGUUGUGAUGGUUUGGAUGUGAACGUGAAUGUGCACACACCUCUUUGAACCACUGCUUUCAACCCUUCUGGAUGACAGCCCACAAAUGGGCUUGCUGGACCCUGGACGAAGU